rnacentral:rRNA from 1 species
GAUGAACGCUGGCGGCGUGCCUAAUACAUGCAAGUCGAGCGAACAGACGAGGAGCUUGCUCCUCUAACGUUAGCGGCGGACGGGUGAGUAACACGUGGAUAACCUACCUAUAAGACUGGGAUAACUUCGGGAAACCGGAGCUAAUACCGGAUAAUAUAUUGAACCGCAUGGUUCAAUAGUGAAAGACGGUUUUGCUGUCACUUAUAGAUGGAUCCGCGCCGCAUUAGCUAGUUGGAAAGGUAACAGCUUACCAAGGCAACGAUGCGUAGCCGACCUGAGAGGGUGAUCGGCCACACUGGAACUGAGACACGGUCCAGACUCCUACGGGAGGCAGCAGUAGGGAAUCUUCCGCAAUGGGCGAAAGCCUGACGGAGCAACGCCGCGUGAGUGAUGAAGGUCUUCGGAUCGUAAAACUCUGUUAUUAGGGAAGAACAAAUGUGUAAGUAACUAUGCACGUCUUGACGGUACCUAAUCAGAAAGCCACGGCUAACUACGUG